rnacentral:rRNA from 1 species
UCGAGAGUUUGAUCCUGGCUCAGGAUGAACGCUAGCGGCAGGCUUAACACAUGCAAGUCGAGGGGUAUAGUUCUUCGGAGCUAGAGACCGGCGCACGGGUGCGUAACGCGUAUGCAAUCUACCUUUUACAGAGGGAUAGCCCAGAGAAAUUUGGAUUAAUACCUCAUAGUAUGUGAGAAUCGCAUGGUUUUUCACAUUAAAGUUCCAACGGUAAAAGAUGAGCAUGCGUCCCAUUAGCUAGAUGGUAAGGUAACGGCUUACCAUGGCAACGAUGGGUAGGGGUCCUGAGAGGGAGAUCCCCCGACACUGGUACUGAGACACGGACCAGACUCCUACGGGGAGGCAGCAGUGAGGAAUAUUGGACAAUGGGGCGCAAGCCUGAUCCCAGCCAUGCCGCGUGC